rnacentral:misc_RNA from 1 species
UUUUGUAUUUCAAUCCCUUUGGCAGAAUCUUCAAAUGUUUUGCUUGCUGGUACAAAUCAAACCCAAUCAGCAAGUAAGGUCUGAUCCAAUGAUCUUGGUCUAAAGGAUGCAAGUGGGAAAAAACUGAAUACCAAUGGGCUGUUUGGUAAUCAGGCUAGUAUUGAAAAUGUUUCCAUCAACUGCUUUGAAAUACUCUAUGUGCG